CCUUUAUGUGAUCUUCAUUUGCAGGUUGUGUAUUGGCUUAUAUUGUGGUAGACUUGGCAAUGCUGGGUUAAUGCUUGGACUUGGUGAUCUUAAGGGUCUUUUCUAUUCUGUUCUAUGAUUCUGUAUUAUUUUACAGGUUUUCCAGUAGAUAGAGUCUGUAUUCACAAUCAGAAGAUGCUGUCUGUAAUACAGGUUGCUUUUACUCAGGCUUAAAAGGGGACUAAACAUUCUCGUGGAAGCUGAAUGCUGCUUGCUGAGAAUAAAGGAAAAUGAAACACUCUUCACUGCAUCUCAGCCUCCACAUGUAUCCAAGUGAAUGUUUAUCACGAAGAGGCAGCCUCAGUCACUGGGGUUUUGUACUGGGAGGCAGCCUGGUAUAAAUAACAAAUCCUGUAAUUAGGAGCCAGUAGAUUCUAAUUGACUUAUGUUAGUCCGGAGCGGAAAUCCAGCCUUUCUCUCUGGUCAUGGCGCGGAGCAUCCUUUGUGUAAUGAGCACUGAGGGGAAAUCGAGUGAGGUGGGAAAAAAAUAGCUCUUCUGAAUGGAUGCAGCCUCGUGCGAGUGUUUGAAGUUGUUUUUUUAAGUGCUUAUUUUAGCAGCUUUCGAGCUGAGGAUUUAGAAUAUAUAGAGCAGCCUUUAGGGAAGCUGUUAAUGUGGUUGCUGACUUUACCAGGAGCUGCAGCCCUGCCAGCAGAGAUGAGAUGUGCCAUUUAAAGCAACACCAAAGCUCUCCGUGAAGUUUUGACUCCACUUUAUUUAGAAACUUGCUGGAGUGCACCGGAUGCUGGGGGAAACCAGAACACACUUUCUGGAUUGUCAGACCAAAGGCAGCAGGUUCCCACAGAGCCCUCCUCUUCAUGCAGCUUCUGUUUCUUAUUUCGAUUUUGUUUUUUAAUACCAAAGAGCUUUUAGUGGUGUCCUGACAAUUGUGGCCUGGAAAUUCGUCUAAAUUAAAGCAGGUUUUGUUUGUUUGCUUAGAUGUGCCAACAGGCUCACACAGUCCCACAGCAUUUUUCAGGGCUUACAUCACCCUAAAAUAGAUCUGAUCGAUUCAAAACAAAUUGGAUAAAAGAAGUCAUUUUCUUUGCCCACUUGAUGUUAUUUGCACCCCUACCAAAGGAGCAGCAGGGCCCUGGCAGGUAUGCUGAGCACAGUGUCUGGGAUUGCUGGUAAGAAGAUUAUUUUGGUUGCUGGAAGAAAUAAGAGAACACAAGGAGUUAAAUGAAAUAAGAGAACACAAGGAGUUAAAUGAACUGCUCUGAAGAUAUGAGACUGAAUGUGGGAGAAGCUGAGAGCCGGGUCCUCAGCUAAUGUAAGUAAAUUUAAGUUAAGAGGGUGUAUCAGAUGAAGGGCUGCUCCUGCACUAUUUAACUUAUUUUGGAUGAUCUGAGGCUUUAUGAAUCCCCACAUAAAGAAGGGCCGGUGUGUGUUACAAACUGUGUGAAUAGUUGAGGAUGAUACAUUGAGUCAUGGAAGUUUUCUUUGUGUUAGUUCAUUGCAGCUCUAUGAGGCAGCAGCUGUAUCACAACACCUAUAAAGAUACAUAUUAGCAUCAAACAUUUACCUGCAUUUAUGUAUCACAAAGUUAAACACAGGAUCACAGUGGGGUUUAACUCUAAUUUCACCUUCACAGACUCUCAGUCCCAAGGAGAAGCACAUGAAAACUGCUGGGAGAGAGGGAGGCUGCUUCACAGUACAGGACCAUGUGCUGAGCUGCUCCUGUCGCUUUGCUGCAUCACUUUUGAGGACAGAUGUGUUACACCAAGUACUGUGAGAUACCAGCCAGUGAGAUACCAGCCACCACAGCCGUACAGAAAGGAGAGGAUGUUGGUGCGUGCAUUAAAUCUGCCUGAAGAGCUUGUGGGUGCUGGGGCACUCCGUGAGCCAGCAGCCCUGGGGUAACCUGGUCCAUCCUUCAUCAGAUGGAGCUGUCAGCCUGUUAGGAGGGGAGAGGAACUGAGGCAGAGUCAUCAAUGCCAACAUUUGUGCAUCCAGGUCUCUGACCACUACCCUCCGGUCUCAGCAGAACAGCAGCAGCGUUUAACAGCUUCAUUAGUGCCAGAGUGAUAAUGAUGUACCACAGGAGUGGCUAUCUGGUACAAUCAGGAGUUGUACCAGAGCUGCAGCAGCAGCCUGAUUCUUCAGAACUCGGGAGCAACGUUUGUAAAGGUCCCUGCACAGGUUACCAAGCUCCAGGUUCUCAGUGUGCAGUCGUACAACGUGUCUGCUCACCUUUUUACCCCUCCUGAGUGGCGAGCAACGAGCAGAACGUGUCUGGAUUCCAUCUGCACAGGAUAGCUGAGCAGGGUUUCUUCUAAAGGUUCUUUCUGCUGGGAGAGCAUUUUCACUGCUCAGCACUGCUGGAGGCCCGAGGCUGCACCCAUCUGCCACCCAGCGCCGUGGCUGCCCACCAUGGGUGUGCUCAGGACCUUCCUCUGAGCACUGAUUCCCUACGGCAGGGGAGGAUGGAGGUUUCAGACCUCUGGCACAAACAAGGCAUCGUGGUAAUCAAAACCAUCUGGGUUUAUGUGGGUCCUUUUGAAUUGGGUGGAAACCACCACUGGAGAAUACCAAUUGUACCAGAAGCUUUCUCAGUUGAAUAAAACUCAUGAAGGGGGUUUGUACCA